AUCCUUUUGUAAGUCAUAAGUGUGAUUGGGUUUUCAUGCCCUUGUGUCAAACGUGUCUCCCUCAAACCUUGUUACAAAGUGGGCACACUACCCACCUGAUG
rfam:Chlorocebus sabaeus isolate 1994-021 chromosome 17, whole genome shotgun sequence.